CUUAUACUUCCUCCGUCCAAAAAUACUUGUCGGAAGAAUGGAUGUAUCUAGACGUAUUUUAGUUUUAGAUGCAUCCAUUUAUAUCCAUUUCCACGACAAGUAUUUCUGGAUGGAAGGAGUAUUUG
rfam:Triticum aestivum genome assembly, contig: Triticum_aestivum_CS42_TGACv1_scaffold_527211_6DL